UAUAUAUAUAUAUUAAAUGGGCCUUUCCAUUGUCGGGCAGCUCAAAAACUCAACCACUCCUCUGACCCAAUUCUAUGCCUCCUUUACUUUGAUUCCUUUACUAUCUUCUUAUCAAUUAUUUUAUAAUCAUACAAUAGGUUUUCUUAGCAUAGUACACACCAUUCUACGGUCCAUAAUGGGUAUUUAAUUUCUAGGUUACAUAGUACAGUAGACAGCACAGUUACAGUCAACAGUGUUCGUGUUUGAUGACACCAUCCAACCAUCAUCUAAUGGUGGGUUUCACUUGGGUACGUACAUGUUCAAUCUCUUACGAGGUGUUACCAUCACAGUCAUCUGGCAAAUCCAACGGUGGAUAAGGGUUUCCAUAACAGAGACAUGUUUCAUGGAGUCCACCCCUCUAUUUUAGUAGUGGUGGCAUGAUAUGUAUGAACAUGAAAGUGAAUGGGUUCUUAUUAGAAUAGUAUUUGAUUUGUUUUUUUAGAGAUGAUGGGAGGGAGGGAGGGAGGGAGGGAGAGAAAGGUGCAUGGGGUCGUGGUCAUUUCUGGAACUGAGAAACCCCAGCUGGUAGGGGCGGGUCUGCACCUAUCUUUUGUCUUUUUUAACGUUGGCUUUCCACUCCUUUUACUCUUCUUAAUAUAGCCCCCAUACCAUAUCAUUCUCUUCAUCAUCACCAAUCUUUCUCUCUCACCAACCCCCUUCAAGAUAGGCGAGACUCUUGGGGGAUAAAGUGAAUAGUUUGAGAAUCACCGGCACGCACACACACGAAAUCAAAUUCCAUAUAUCUCCCUCUUUCACUUGGAAGAAUUGAUCAAGAUUUGCUAACAAAGGUAGCUUCUUUUUUGAGGGGAAUGUUGUCUGGCUCGAGGACUUUUUCUUGAUCAAUCUAAUCGAACUUUCUACCUGUAGAUCUAGUAUCUUAUUUAAGAUUGAUCACGUAUUAGGGUUGUCGGACCAGGCUUCAUUCCCCCCAAUCAUUGCUUCCAUCUCAAGGGCUUGAUCAUGGGCUGUUGCAUGUACAGGUUUGAUUUUUAAUCAUCCUUUUUUUUUCUUUAAUUGGUUUUGUAUAUCGUAAUCUUGCUCGGGGUAAAAAACCUGGGAGUUUUUUAAUCAUGAGUUUUUUCAUUUUAGUCUUUAGGGUUGUUGGUAUAUAUGCAGAUUGGUGUAAUCAUGAUGUGUUUUGACCAUGCUGAGAACUAAGAAGCUUCAUCAUUACUCUUUUUCUGGUUUGCUUUUUCUCUGAUCAUGUGAUGAUGGUGUUUUUUCUGUCAGUCUACAACCUUCGAAGGCUCGGCAUUAUUAGGCAGAUUUUUCCCAUGAUAGCUUCAUCAUGUAUCUGAUCUGUCUGUUUGUGCUAUUUUCAGAUCUGGCUUUCAACUUUUGGUGGAAAUGAUACUUCUAUUCUUCUCUCUUCUUACUCGUUCUGUUUUAUAGUGUCUCAUGCUGCAGUUGUUUCUGAGGUUUGGCUCUGAUCUCCAAAUCAAUAUUUUACAGAGAAAAGGGCAUGUGCUGUGUGCAGAUGUACAAGCAAGAAAGUGAUGCGCUUUCUGUCAUUGUUUGAAGAGUCUCUCGAUUAUCUAUAGAAAGAGAUAGAAAACUUGGUGGUACUGAAAAUCUAGACGUACUUGCAUACUCGUGAUAUGAAUUUUGGAUACAACAUUUUGGCUCAGAUAUUUAAAGUUUUCUAUAGUCGUGCCCUUGGUUUCUUUGCUUCCUCUUUCAGAAGAGUUUUGCUGUUUUCUAAAAUCAAAGCUGGAUGUUUGAACAUGGGUAACUUCCUAUGCAUGCCUGCCUGCCUACUUAUGAAGUGUGCUAUAUUCUACCUGUUUCUUGGCCUCUUUUCCUUUGGGUUGAGUAGGGGUAAACAUUAUUGUUGUUGUUAUUAUUAUGCUUUCCCUUGAACUGCUGUUAAAUGCCAAGAAUAUUUUAAAUUGAGAACAAUUAUGUUAUUGCCAGGAGUUUGUGCCCGCGUGUUUUGUGUCACUCUCACAUUACAUGAAACAAUCUGUCUUGGCAAAGUUAUCUCUCGAUUACAUUUCGAAUUCUUUUCGAACAAAGAGAUAUUGUUGUGAACUCCUCAGUUAAAGCCUACUGGUCUAAAGUUACAAGUUCCCAUUCCUGAUAGCUCACAAAAUCCUCUUGUUUCUUAAUUUUAACUCUACUAGCUAGAAAUGAAUGGAUAAUGAUUCUUGUUUCACCAUUUGAUUAUAUAUGCCACGCGUUAAAUAGCAGGUUCAUAAAGUCUCCCCGCAAUGUGGAAUAUGGAUCGAUGUCAUACUUUUCCAGCGUAAAGCUUGAUUGCUUUCUAGAGGAUCAGUAUGCAGUCUUUGAUUUUGUGGGAGCCGAGGGAGGGGGGUCUUUGGCCAUGUUGAUGAAUUCCUAUGAAGGUUUUAAUUAUGACCACAAUUUUCCAUGGUGUGACUGGUAUGUGUACAACUUGACCAAAACUCUAUGAAAACUGUGUGCCAUUGGAUGAGAAGUUGAGGACCUUGUAAGUAUAUAGCUCCACAAAAGUACGUACAAGUGUCACCUAGAGCCCUAGACCUUGAAAUUACUGAAGGAUCCAAUGAAACUUUGCCUUUCGCCCUUUUUCACUCCGCUGUCACGAGUCAGGACGGAGCAUGUUGUGGAAAUUGGGAAGAUGGUAAAGCUACAAUAUUUUUCAGGCACUGUAAUCUUUCCUGUUACAUACAUGAAGUGCAACGACCCCUGCCCUCUCAA